UCACUGUUCUGUUACAGGGUAUUACCACAGUAUUCCACUAGGUGUCACUGCUGUUACAGGGUAUUACCACAGUAUUCCACUAGGUGUCACUGCUGUUACAGGGUAUUACCACAGUAUUCCACUAGGUGUCACUGCUGUUACAGGGUAUUACCACAGUAUUCCACUAGGUGUCACUGCUGUUACAGGGUAUUACCACAGUAUUCCACUAGGUGUCACUGCUGUUACAGGGUAUUACCACAGUAUUCCACUAGGUGUCACUGCUGUUACAGGGUAUUACCACAGUAUUCCACUAGGUGUCACUGCUGUUACAGGGUAUUACCACAGUAUUCCACUAGGUGUCACUGCUGUUACAGGGUAUUACCACAGUAUUCCACUAGGUGUCACUGCUGUUACAGGGUAUUACCACAGUAUUCCACUAGGUGUCACUGCUGUUACAGGGUAUUACCACAGUAUUCCACUAGGUGUCACUGCUGUUACAGGGUAUUACCACAGUAUUCCACUAGGUGUCACUGCUGUUACAGGGUAUUACCACAGUAUUCCACUAGGUGUCACUGCUGUUACAGGGUAUUACCACAGUAUUCCACUAGGUGUCACUGCUGUUACAGGGUAUUACCACAGUAUUCCACUAGGUGUCACUGCUGUUACAGGGUAUUACCACAGUAUUCCACUAGGUGUCACUGCUGUUACAGGGUAUUACCACAGUAUUCCACUAGGUGUCACUGCUGUUACAGGGUAUUACCACAGUAUUCCACUAGGUGUCACUGUCUUACAGGGUUGGUGUCACUUAUAGCAGCUAUGGUUACUGGGGUUAACACACAACACUGGGGUUAACACACAACACACACACACGACACACACACACACACCACACACACACACACAGCAAUAUGUCCAGUCUCA